AGUAAUUUGCAGAUUUAAUAAUCUUUGCAUUAUUUUAUUAACAUUUCAGUUUAUUAAUGCAUAUCCUCAAAGUAAAUGCAAUCAAACCAUUUAUAGUAGUAUAGUAGUAACACUUAAAGCUUUAAUAAGUGUGUUGGUUCACUACAUCCUCUAAAGUGGCUUCUAAAGAAAUAUGAGUACAAUUUUACAACCUUGUAAAGAAAUUCCAAAUGUAAGGUUUUGUUAUUUGAGCACCACAGACCACAUUCCCCUCAGGGUCACCAGUCUCAGCGUUGGAGAACUCAAACCACAACUAUCUGCACCACUACAUACAGAACCAGUACAGGCUCACAGAUGUGUUGUCUUUGUCUGGAUGUUGUGUCCUCUGACCUCCGACCUCCUUCCUGUGAGGCUGGUGAUCGAGGAACUGAGACUCACUCUGCUACUGGACUCGAGGCUCUCGGCAGUGCUGGCGGUUCCCACCACAAUGGUACCGUUGUUGUCGGAGGACUGGAGGGUUUUCUCGUCUUCCUGCGUCCCGAUGAGACUCAGCAUGGCUUUGUACAGAAACUGGUACUGCUCCUGAAAAACAACAGAUGUCGAAAAUUGGUCAUGGUUCAUAAAUACUUCCUGUUAACCAGCAGCCACUGCCAAGCUGUUCUGCUGCAGUUAAAAUCAAAGAUAAUAAUUAAGAUUAUUAUAUCAUCACUACAUCAUCUGACAAAAUGAAGAAAAAUACAGUUUAAUGACAGCAGCUGUGCUGUGAGAUUGACUAUAUUCACACUUAAAAUACCCUUAAUUUCUACCCUAAUUUGGGUCUGUAAUUUCCUAGGAACUCAACUGGAAAGUACUAUGUAGUUUGGUUGUAAUUAUGGGGAAAAUAGGAAGGUCACUGAGAGAAAAGCUCCAUUUUAACGCAGGUUAUCAAUUAAAUUGUAUGCAUGUCUGGAGACAGAUUUCACAGUUUUGCAGAUUACACAGUUAUUUGUAAUGUUUAAAUAAGGUCAAUAUAAAGCAGUAGAAUUUCAGGAUGAAUGAAUCCUGUGACAAUACCAUUUAUCAUUCUAUUUUUGCCACAAUCAUACUGUGAAUAUUUUUACCAGCAUAUCUCUGCAUAUGUUGUUGUCACUGUAUCUGUGAUUUACUCUGUGAUGUUGAAUUACAGCUCAGGUUGUAUUUUUGUUGUUUUGUCCUUCAUUUCUGUCAGUUAUGUAGAAGUUAAUAGCUGAGAUCUGGGAAACACUGAUAUCACUAAAAAGACGUGGAUCUGUAAACUGAUGGAUGUUUACAACGAUGAAAGCAAAGAUAAUAAUUUUACGGUUUGCUUUCAUUUUCUCUUUCAAAUGAGUUUGUCAAACCUGGAGGUUUGUUUCCAACAUUUCUGUUUUGCCACCGUGUCUACUAAAGAAACGUUUUUUCGUGGCUGCUGGCUGAAGCACUCUCCCUCAAUACUGGACCAGUUUCAACAAUUUUUGUCCCCAUUAGUCACUUAAACCCAAAAUGAUGGGAAAUAGGGUCUUGGUUGAAAAAUACAGAAGUUUCCCUUUAACUUUGUGAAUAUAUUUACAUUUAUUACUGAUAUAACUAAUGGACAACUAUGAAAAUAAAACCCAAGUUAUAAUAAACUGAAAUGAUCCUUAAAGCAUAAAUGCUAUCAAGUGUAAAUCACACAGAUUUUGUAAUGGACAGUAGAUCAUCAUCAGCGUAUUGUGAGACACC